rnacentral:rRNA from 1 species
UACAGAGACUGCAAGCGUUAUUCGGAUUCACUGGGCGUAAAGGGUGCGCAGGCGGCCGUGUGUGUGAGGCGUGAAAGCCCGGGGCUUAACCCCGGAAUUGCACCUCAAACUACAUGGCUAGAGCAUUGGAGAGGGUAGCGGAAUUCACGGUGUAGCAGUGAAAUGCGUAGAUAUCGUGAGGAACACCAGAGGCGAAGGCGGCUACCUGGACAAUUGCUGACACUCAGGCACGAAAGCGUGGGGAGCAAAAGGG